rnacentral:lncRNA from 1 species
AUUUGGGGUUUGGGGUUUGGGGUUUGGGGUUUAGGGUUUCGGAUUUUAGGAUUUAAACAUAUUACUCGUUAAUUCCACGUAAGCAGAAAUCGUCGUAAACACCACGUAAAAGGAUUUAAACAAAACACUCGUUAAUUCCACGUAAGCAGAAAUCGUCAUAAACACCACGUAUGCAAAAAUCGUCGUAAAUACCUCGUAUUGUAAAAACUAGAAAAAAAAAAGGAGAAAAAUACCAGAUUAACAUGUGGCAAGACUUCCAGCAAUUAUAAUACGUAAGUCUCGCCCACAUGAAUUCUAGUAUCUUCUCCUUUUCUUUUUUUUUUCAAAUAUUUAUAAUUUUAAUAAGAUUUUGCUGAGGAAUUUGAUUUGAGAUAGGGUGUGAUUUGGGAGUUUGUUUGUGUGGUUUGAGAAUGAGAGUUGUGGGUAUAUUUAUAGGAAAACAAAGCUCGUUAAUUCCACGUAAGCAAAAUCGUCGUUAAUACCUCCUAUAUAAAAACACGGGCCUUUGUAAUUCCUCGCAAUUUCCUCGUACAAAAAAACACGGACCUUUGUAACUGCUCGCUAUUUCGUCGUAACCUUACGAAGAAUUUGCGACGAUAUGUAAUCUUAUAUAUAC